AUGAAAGACAAGUGUGUGUGUAUAUGUAUUAUAUGUGUGUGUGUGUGUGUUUUUUUUUCUGUCCUGCAUGGAAAUGAAAGGCAAAAAAAGUCCCAGCAUGCAUCAGGCCGCUAUCGUUGCAUCUCCUCGUACCUUCGUAUCAUUUUCAUGACUCUCACACUAAACGAGGCCUUCGUUAAGUUUCUCACGAAAACAAAUACCGGAGGAUCAGUCCGGUUUUUAUCUCGUCCGUCUCUCUUUGUGUUCACUUCUCCAGAUACAAUCACAGCCACUCAUGCAAAAAAACAAAACGGUCCCUCACUGUUCCGGUUCACUUCCUGGACAAGUGUGAACCAGAUGUCAACGGUUUCCAGUCGGGGACCCACAUUCAGACCGGAGCAGGCGAGAGGCCAAAAGGUCAACGGUCGUCAACGGGCGGCGCAAUCGAUCGACCUAUUGAACAAGGUUCAAGAGUUUACGUCCGAGUUUAUCUGUCAGGAUUUGGGAUCAUUUAAAGGUCGGAGGAGUGAGACAUCUGUUCAUCUGCUAAUCCUGCUGCAGGUAAAUAAACUGAUGUGUGUUUAAUAAUCUCGUACAGUUACAUAACUACAUUCAUCUCAUCACUUUUUUCUUUUUGGCAUAAAUUAGAAAAAUAAAAAAAAUGUAAACAAGCAACAAAAUAAUAUAAAUGUAAGAGUUUGUUUUUUAAUUUAUAUGUUCAUAUUUAGAAGAGACUCACUCCAUCAGCAAACUGCACGUGAAUGCAGGUCACUGGGAUUUUGUAUUAAAACUUAAUAUACCAACAUCAGCAGUAAUAAAUUUACAGUAAAAAUCCGCCUCAAAUAAUAAUUUUUAAAUUCAUUCUGAUGACAUGUUUUGUCAGGAGCUCGUGACUCGUGACGCUGCAGAACCAUUUGAAUAAUAGAGACGCAGAAGAAAAAGGUUUGCUUCGAACAAACAGCUGCAGGAAAGAGACGAGUGUUUUCUUUCUUUCCAUUAUUGUUUCACCUGAAACCGGAAACAAACCUAUGGAACGACGAGGACCUGACGAGAGUUGGAGCCUUCGAGGCCUUUAACGUCUUUUCAUCUCCGUUCGUUCGUUUCUCAAAAAAUCUUCCAUAUCAAAAAUUCAUCCCGACGACAAUCUGGAGUUAUGAUAUUAUGCAGAUGUUUAACAACAUGCAGAUGUGGUGAAGAGGAAGCUGCUCCUGCUCCUCAGAGGAAACAUUCAAUAACUCAUCUCUCGCCUUUUAUUCUUCGAACUCCUCCAACAAUCCCACGAGAUUCGUUUCGCAGCAAAUGUUUUGUUUGUUUGAUGCAAAUCCGAACAAAUCCGCGGACGCGCCGACCCGCGGACGCGCGCUGCGCUGUUUGCUCAAACACGUGUUUGAAUGUCCUGCGAGGCAGAUGUUGAUUCAGCUGCCGCCAGAUGAGUUUACAUAGAUACAGAAGAGGAGGGGAUCGAUGAGGAGAGAUUAUCGAUGAGUACAGGACAGUUUGCGCCUUUUAGAUUCGGUCAUAAUCCGCCGCGCGACAAGAAGAAAGGAUGAAUUAUUAAAUGAUUGGAGAUGAAAUCCGACAGGGAACGAAUAAACGUUGCGCGUCACUCGUAUUCUUCUGAUUGUUUUAGAUCGUAUUGAUCACAGUUCCAUCUGACGGGGUCGACUAAACAUAAAUACUCUGUAUUCAUUUCCAUUCAUAAUUUACAGCUGCACACGUCGAGGGGAUGAUUUGAUGAAUCAAUGUUCUGAUGUCACAUCUGACACAUCGAGAAGUUUUCCAGACAAAAUUAAAAAAUCAAAUAUCACAUGAAAUCUUCUAUGAGAUAUUAGUUGGGUGGCACUUGUGUUAAAUUAAAACUGCACGAGGACGCCGUCUUUAAGGGGGAGGGGGGUAAUUAAUUGCACGCAAUCUGUUUAGCUGUGAUUGGUCCUCUGCUCUGUGCGGCCUCACCGGCAAAGACACGCUCGUCCCGAACAACCUUGACAACAACCCCUUUAGUUUUUAUAAUGUUUGUGCCUGCAAGCAUGAACGAAUCUCACACACACACACACACACACACACACACACGUGACCCCCUCACCUCGCCCCACCCACGUAAUUACCGCAUCAGAGGGAGAAAGUCGCUGCAGGUUUAUUUUGGAGAAGGAAACGACUCGAGGCGCGGGAGUAAUUAACAAGCCAUUACAGAGACGC
rnacentral:lncRNA from 1 species